UACAGAGGGGGCAAGCGUUGUUCGGAAUUACUGGGCGUAAAGGGCGCGUAGGUGGCUUCUCAAGCGUGCGGUGAAAGCCUGGGGCUCAACCCCGGGUCGGCCGUGCGAACUGGGGGGCUGGAGCACUGUAGAGGCAGGCGGAAUUCCGGGUGUAGCGGUGGAAUGCGUAGAGAUCCGGAAGAACACCGGUGGCGAAGGCGGCCUGCUGGGCAGUGCUGACACUGAGGCGCGACAGCGUGGGGAGCAAACAGG
rnacentral:rRNA from 1 species